rnacentral:rRNA from 1 species
ACGUACACUCCUGCGGGAGGCAGCAGUGGGGAAUAUUGGACAAUGGGCGCAAGCCUGAUCCAGCCAUGCCGCGUGAGUGAUGAAGGCCCUAGGGUUGUAAAGCUCUUUCACCGGUGAAGAUAAUGACGGUAACCGGAGAAGAAGCCCCGGCUUACUUCGUGCCAGCAGCCGCGGUAAUACGAAGGGGGCUAGCGUUGUUCGGAUUUACUGGGCGUAAAGCGCACGUAGGCGGACUAUUAAGUCAGGGGUGAAAUCCCGGGGCUCAACCCCGGAACUGCCUUUGAUACUGGUAGUCUUGAGUUCGAGAGAGGUGAGUGGAAUUCCGAGUGUAGAGGUGAAAUUCGUAGAUAUUCGGAGGAACACCAGUGGCGAAGGCGGCUCACUGGCUCGAUACUGACGCUGAGGUGCGAAAGCGGGGGGAGCAAACAGGAUUAGAUACCCCGGUAGUCC